UUCAAUUCUCCUUACCGCUUACAAUUCCUUCAUUCUUCUUUCACACGCUCCUUGGAUUAUAUAUGGAAACUUGAAUAAUUCUUCAAUUACUGGAACAUCAUAUGGAAGCGUUUCCAAUCUUUUGCAAUUAGUCAAAAGGGUUAUUCUUCUACAUUGAAACCCUAAUAUGUUCGAAUUGAACCAUUAUGUUAAUGCUUUCAUUAUAUUUAAUUUUGUAAAAGAGAAACAAGAGAGAGAUGGAGCAGAUGAGAGACGCAGACGGGAGAUGGUCAUCUUCUCUGACGACUGGGGUCAGCGAUAGGGCUUUCUUAGUAGCCAGCGACGGCGAUGGUUCCAAGGUGAUUGUUGUCAUCGGUGGUCAGCAAAGGGUGAGAUCUGUCUUCCAACGGCUAGGGUUCCGCCAUGAAUCACUGGCGGCAACGAACAUUGAUUAUUGACAUAGCUGGUGAUACCACAAUUAUCAUGUCCAGUUCCUUUGUUCACUUAUUACAACCCAUUUCCUAAGCUUGGAGUGGAGAAAUUCAUGGUUAAUGUGAAAGAGUUGGAGUACAUGGUAACUUAUAAGCUAUUUAUACUCGAUUUUCAUUCUAAUGUAAGUUUUCCUUUUAUAAUAAGAACAUAACUUAUAUUAUAACGUUAAAUCUAGCAUUCGUGACAUUCUACCAACCAGGCUCUCAAUGGCUUUCACAUUUGUUGGAAACUCUACUUCUAUUCAAGAAAUCUUUAGACAAGUGAGUGAGUAGUUUACUACCAUGUUUAGGCGUGAAGCUUUCUUGCGAUGGUGUACCGGUGAAGGAAUGGAUGAGAUGGAGUUCACCGAAGCUGAAAGUAACAUGAAUGAUUAUGUAGCUGAAUAUCAAGAAUAUCAAGAUGCUACAUCAGAUGUAGAAUAUGAUGAAAAGGGUAAGGAGGAAGAGAAAGAUCAAUAUGAAGGGUAAAUUUGUAAAAAAAAAAAAGAAAAACAAAUGGUGUGUUUUGUUUUUGUCAGUUCUAUAUGAUGUAGUUUGGAGUGUACUCUUUAAGGUUGUGGUUUUAGAUACUUCAUGGAAAUCGGUAUCAUGCGAUAUGUGUUGGAUUUAAUACUAAUGGGAAUGGUGAGACUUCAAGGUUGUGCCCAAGGUGUUUAGUUGAAUGAAGGUCCCCUCCUUCCGAGGUACGCUCCAAUUAAGCACCACAUCUACAACAACAAUCUCAAUCAACCCAUCGAUACAAUAUGAUGCCAUGAUUAUCAAGUGGAGGAUUUAUAGCAUCUGCAGCCUGAAGCUUAAAUUGAAUGUUCAUGUUAUGCAUUGAGUUCUGUGGCUUAAAUGUGGACAAAUUUGCCUGUUGGUUAAUAGGUUGUGUAUAGCUAACACGAAAUUAGUGGAAUGCAAUAUUUGGUGCAGGCAACGUAUUAACAGGUACCACUUUCUUAGUCCUCAAAACACUUUUAUUAAUGUUGAAUUCUUAAGCAAUAUGUUGGCUAAGCCUUGGGUUGUCAUUAAAUGUUUAAAUUAACUUUGACCUUUUCUAAGCAUAGUCACAGGAUUUGCAGAAACCCCACAUCUCGCGGACCAGAUCGCUCGUAUUGGAAUUGGGUACAGAGUCGAACCGAACGCUACGGGUUCGUGAUUCGGAUCGGAAAUAUUGGUCAUCCUUUUGAGAGCCGAUCUUUCUUCCAACCGGUUGUAACCAGGUUUGUUUCUCAUCGAUUUGUGUUAUUUUGAUUCCCCAUUGUCUUACUGAAUUUGAUUGUUAGUUUUAGUGUUGUAUUUUCACUUAGUUUAUUGAAAGCAAUUUACACUAAUUGAAAGAAACUUGUCGAACAUCUGAUUACGGUGACAACCGAACCUGCAAUUUAGCUCUUCACAUUUCAAUCUCCAUCUGAUUAUUCUUAAGAUCGGAUGAUUGUUAGGUAACUAGCUUCGAUUUUGUCAGUUGCUUCAGUUUUGAGCUGAGCUUAUUCGAUACAUUUCUUCAAGCUAUCUGGGUUUUACGACAGACGAUUGAUGCAAUGAUGUAGUGAUCUAUGCUCAAUUGUUUUUACUUGCUUCGAUGUUGCACGUAUUUGGUCGUUUUUUCAACCUUAUCAAAGAAAAUAUUUUGGGCUUAUUCGAUCCAUUUCUACAUAAUUACUAUGUCCAUCAUUCAGGUACAUUCAAAUUCAAAGAAACGGUUUUCGUAAAAAAAAUAUGUUGUGGUAGUACUUAGUCAGAAAUCUGAACUACGUAUGUACAAAAUAGUGUGUAGACAAGAUUAUUAUACAAGAAUUUUGGCAGGUUUUCUAAUAAGUGUUGUGUAUGGUCCGCAUGGUAGCUCAUCUGAGCUUUCAUGUCAUGACGAGCCAGAGUCAUCACCGGAAGCCACAGUUCAUGACAGAGUCAAACGACAAGAGACUGAAUUCGUAAGCUGUAAAAAAGAGACUGGCGUUGAAGAAAGCAGUAGUGAAUUUGAAAAACUAUCGCUGAUACGAGAAACUAUCCAAGCAUUCAAGCAUCAGUUGUUUCGAAGAGUUAGCUUUUGAAGAACUUUUGAUUGUUAUUGAGGCGAGGAUCGGUAUUGUGAAAUCAUUAUAUUUCCUGCCAUCAUUAAUGCACUGGCUUGAGUCUUUAAUGUUGGCUAGCUAGCUUCGGGAAAAGAUCGCUGGCCACAUGACUGAUAUACACGUCUCAAUCUCACUGGAUCAAUGACGCCCACUGUUUCUGAAGUCAACAUUGAUGAAAUCCGAUCGACUUCUACCAACUCUGAUAGGUACCCUGCUUAUCUUCAUGCUCCCAUGACCAGUUCUCCAAACCUUCCUCCGAACAUUUCCGGUACAAUAAUACACCUCAAUUGUUUGUUUGCGUGCUUGUGUUUUUCAGAUAAUUGUAUGCGAUUUUUUAGAUGUUGUUUGUUAUCAUUUCAGUUAUUAUGAAUUAUGAUUUAAUUUAGUUUUUAAUCUCAGUUAUGGGUAUUUUAUUUUUUGGGUGCCAGUUUACCGUUAUGUUGGAUAAUUAUUUAGGGGUCUUUGGGGUAGUCUCACUAAUCAGCUGAGAGUAAAAAGUUAGCAUGAAUCCAUGAUUAAGAUUUCUGAUUGUCUAGGCUUAAAUAAUGAGAUUAGAGGUGGGUAUGGAGGUGCCUACUGAUGUAAAAUUGGCGAACUGCUUUUAACCUUGGGCCGGGUUAUCACCUAUGAUGAUGAUUUGGAAGUGAGAUGAAUAUUUUUAUUUGUAUUAUGCUAUUGGUUCACCAGAUAAUUUGCCAAGAUGAAAGUGAACCCAAGAAUAUUAUUUAGUAAUUGGACUAUUUUGACCAAUCAAAAGUCGACAUAUGGCGCAAGGGUGAAAAUUUUGGGCAUGCACUAGCAAGGAGAAUCAUCUGGACCAAUCUUGAAACGACACAUGGCAAGGAGACGUGUCCAAUUGCCAUGGAUAGGUCACGUGGAUAUUUUCAAAUGAGGGGAUUUCACAGGUGUGUUGAUGGUUAUUUGGAUACCGUUAUCUUCUUUUAUUUUCUUUUCUUGAUCAUGCAGAGAUCUACAGAAAGCAACCUACAAUUUCACCUCAUUGAUAGGCCAAGGGGCAUUUGGUUCUGUUUAUAAAGCUUAGAUGACUACUGGUGAAGCAGGAACCGUUCAAUUAUGCUUAACGAGAUAAGUUGACAAACAAUAUGUAUUGUGUUAUUCCAUCUACCCUAAUCAAUACGGGUUGCAAAAUAGUUCGGUCGGGCAGGUUGGAUAACGGGUCAAUUUAAGUUGUUUAUGGUACUGUCAGAACGGGUUGAGCCGACCCAAUAUUUUAUCUUUAGAAGAUCUUCCAGGUAAUUGCGUACAAAUUUAAAAUCACACGCAUACAUGCUUUUUAAUUAUAUGCUUGCUUGAUUAUUUGGGUAAACAAUUGCCUUUUUUAAUGAAAUGUCGAUUUUUUCUUGAAGUUAAUCAUUUUGUUGUGGAGAUAGGUAAUCCACUUUUGGACUUCAAUACAAGUUUUAAUUCAAGGGGGAGGGAGAUAGAGAUGUUCAUGGUUCGGUUCAAAAUCAUGAAAUCGGUCAACACUUUGUGAUAAGCAUGACAUAUUGGAUGAAAAAAUUUAGCGAUUGUCGGUUGUCACAUCUUUGAGGGUGGAAUGAAUCUUUUCAUUUGUGAGUUUGUAGCAUUCCAAGAUGUAAAAAGAGGAGUGUUGAUUUUAAGUGAGGUAACUAUUGGUACAAUAAACUUUGUAAUAACUUAUAUUAUUUGUGAAUGUUAUAAAGUGGAAACUUAGGGUUUAAAUAUA